rnacentral:rRNA from 1 species
GACGAACCGUGCGACCGUUGUUCGGAAUCACUGGGCUUAAAGGGCGCGUAGGCGGGUGUGCAAGUCUGCGGUGAAAGCCUCCAGCUUAACUGGAGAAGUGCCGUGGAUACUGCUCAUCUUGAGGAGGGUAGGGGCAUCUGGAACGGUCGGUGGAGCGGUGAAAUGCGUUGAUAUCGACCGGAACUCCGGUGGCGAAGGCGAGGUGCUGGACCCUUUCUGACGCUGAGGCGCGAAAGCCAGGGGAGCAAACGGG